UACGUAGGGGGCUAGCGUUGUCCGGAUUUAUUGGGCGUAAAGAGCGUGUAGGCGGCCAGGUAGGUCUGCCGUGAAAACUCGAGGCUCAACCUCGAGAUGUCGGCGGAAACCAUCUGGCUAGAGUCCGGAAGAGGAGAAUGGAAUUCCCGGUGUAGCGGUGAAAUGCGCAGAUAUCGGGAAGAACACCCGUGGCGAAGGCGGUUCUCUGGGACGGUACUGACGCUGAGACGCGAAAGCGUGGGGAGCGAACAGG
rnacentral:rRNA from 1 species